CAAGAAAUAUGUAUUUCACCAAUGCCAUGAUAAUAGAUUAAAAUAAAGAAUGUCGAAAUAUCACCAAGGCUGCACCGAUUCCUGCGCAUAUAGGACGAAAACGAAAGAAAGGGAUGUUGAUACGACUCUGACGUCUAACCCAUUCUGCGAUUGCCAUAACUGUGCAUGCAGUGAAUGUCCAGACAUUUUGGGAAUGCUGGCUAUUACUGUAACGGAAACAACGUGUGUGUUUGGUACAACAACCCCUAAAAUAAGCGACGAAGAGACGUACCGGUGCACCUCCAUUCAUAAAACCGCCGCCUGCAUUCCAAAGCCGAGCAACCCUAAUAAGAAAGAAAAAAAAUGAAAGUGUUAUUGGUUCGUGAGAACAGCAACCCACAACCGACGAGUAAGAUCGAAUAUAGAAUUAUAGCAGGUGAAAUGAUCGCGCGAUCCUAUGUUGGAUCAGGAGGAAAAUCUAGAUUUAUAUGUGAAUCAGACGUAGACAUGUACUUGUGUACAUGUAUAUACUAAGAUACAUUAUCAGUCCACAGCACUAAAAAGUACACGGAAUCAACGACUUUAGGAGAACUCUCUAAAAGUUAUGUAUGUUGAUUCAAAGAAGCGGUCAAAACAGCCUCUAGAACUCCCUAGUUCAUCUGAAUAAUAACUCCGUAAAGAAGCUGCUGAUCUACCUCCACUAAAACCCGAAACCUAUUCAUUUCAACAUACGAAAUUACAAAUAUGUCAAAAUUGCAUUUGAAUUGCGCAAACUGCAAACCGGAGGAAAAACAAAGCAAGCAACCUGAAACAACUCCAUGUAAGCACUGUCCGAUAGAACCAGACCUGGAAACAGCCCGAACGUGUAAAUGUGAAGCAACUGCGCGCGCCCUAAGCGAUGAUGUGCCCAGGUUUCUGGGAUUGAAAAACAUACGCGAUACAGUGCUGAGAGACCAGGAAAACGAAAUUGUGCUCAGUCCAAGCGUGCUUAAACAGCACAAAGACUCGAAGAAGACCAAAGACCUCAAGGAGACGAAAGAGCUCAAAAACCCCAAAGAGCCCAAAGCUCCUAAAGAGCCCAAAGACCCCAAAUUCUGCAAACAUCCAUAAACCCUACCAGAAAAUACAGAAUUCUCAAACCCAGUGAAAGAUGGUGGAAACACAGGCAGUGAAAAAAUGCAGCCUGAUAUAGCAAAGUCCAAAUA
rnacentral:misc_RNA from 1 species